rnacentral:rRNA from 3 species
UCCUACGGGGAGGCAGCAGUGGGGAAUAUUGCACAAUGGGGGAAACCCUGAUGCAGCCAUGCCGCGUGUGUGAAGAAGGCCUUCGGGUUGUAAAGCACUUUCAGUAGGGAGGAAGGUAGUGUAGUUAACACCUGCAUUAUUUGACGUUACCUACAGAAGAAGCACCGGCUAACUCCGUGCCAGCAGCCGCGGUAAUACGGAGGGUGCGAGCGUUAAUCGGAAUUACUGGGCGUAAAGCGCAUGCAGGCGGCCUGUUAAGUCAGAUGUGAAAGCCCGGGGCUUAACCUCGGAAUUGCAUUUGAAACUGGCAGGCUAGAGUCUUGUAGAGGGGGGUAGAAUUUCAGGUGUAGCGGUGAAAUGCGUAGAGAUCUGAAGGAAUACCAGUGGCGAAGGCGGCCCCCUGGACAAAGACUGACGCUCAGAUGCGAAAGCGUGGGGAGCAAACAGGAUUAGAUACCCUGGUAGUCCACGCCGUAAACGAUGUCUACUUGGAGGUUGUGGCCUUGAGCCGUGGCUUUCGGAGCUAACGCGUUAAGUAGACCGCCUGGGGAGUACGGUCGCAAGAUUAAAACUCAAAUGAAUUGACGGA